rnacentral:rRNA from 1 species
GCACUUUAAGCAGUGAAGAAGACUCCUCGGUUAAUACCCGUGGACGAUGACAUUAGCUGCAGAAUAAGCACCGGCUAACUCUGUGCCAGCAGCCGCGGUAAUACAGAGGGUGCAAGCGUUAAUCGGAAUUACUGGGCGUAAAGGGAGCGUAGGUGGCUCGAUAGGUCAGAUGUGAAAUCCCCGGGCUCAACCUGGGAACUGCAUCUGAUACUGUUGAGCUAGAGUAUGUGAGAGGAAGGUAGAAUUCCAGGUGUAGCGGUGAAAUGCGUAGAGAUCUGGAGGAAUACCGAUGGCGAAGGCAGCCUUCUGGCAUAAUACUGACACUGAGGCUCGAAAGCGUGGGUAGCAAACAGGAUUAGAUACCCUGGUAGUCCACGCCGUAAACGAUGUCUACUAGUCGUUGG